UUUGACAUCUGAGUGACUACAUUUUAUUUUUAUAAUCAUUAUAGCUGUCUUUAGAUGUUUUUAAGAAGCAGUUUAACACAAUGAUUAAUUAUUACGCGAUUAUGCUCAGUAAUAAAAUGUUAACUGUGACUGAAAUUUCAAUCUAAGGGGUAUUAAAACCAUUUUGUAUACUGAGCUUUGUUCAUGAUGACUGUGUAGGGAAAGACGCCGGUUGUCCAUGACAAAGAUAUUCCAUACUUUUUCCACCAGUUCUCAGUCAACUGGUCGACUCCAUUAUUAAAGCUAAAACUACAUUAUACAAGACAAGAGUGCGGAGACUGUGCGCACACUGAUCACAAAACGCAGAACAACAACCCGAGAGACGAGCUAGCAUUUAAAUACAUGUAAAUAAUGAUAGGUACAACCGGGUCACUGCCAUUGAGGUUGCCCGUGAGAACGGUUUGAAGAAGUGUCGAGAGCUGGCCUCCAGUCUGUACCAGGAAUGGAUGGACAACCCCAGCGUCAACCCGUAUCUCAAGUACACUCUGGAUCCGGAGAAGAUCUGGAAGAUGGAUUCCAUCCCAACUAUCAGCUACAUCUCUAGAAACGUGGUUGGCCAGUCGCUGGUGUGAGACUUCAUCCGACCCUACUCCACCACCAGGAACUUGUGAUAGAAGUGCAAUAUUUUUACAAGCCUUGAUUGAUUCACACUGAUUCCAGGCUGAUCCAUCGAGCCCUUACUCACUGCUUCACUAGAGUGGUCUUUGUCGGCUCCCCGUCGCCCCUGUUUAUAAUACCUGGAAAUAUAAAAGGGCUCUCUAGAAAUACAUAGGAGUUUUAAAACCAGAUUUUUAUAAUUACAUUUUA